UUUAACUGAAGAGUUUGAUCAUGGCUCAGAUUGAACGCUGGCGGCAGGCUUAACACAUGCAAGUCGAGCGGAAGGCUUGGGUUACUGACCUAGCGGCGGACGGGUGAGUAAUGCUUAGGAAUCUGCCUAUUAGUGGGGGACAACAUCUCGAAAGGGAUGCUAAUACCGCAUACGUCCUACGGGAGAAAGCAGGGGAUCUUCGGACCUUGCGCUAAUAGAUGAGCCUAAGUCGGAUUAGCUAGUUGGUGGGGUAAAGGCCUACCAAGGCGACGAUCUGUAGCGGGUCUGAGAGGAUGAUCCGCCACACUGGGACUGAGACACGGCCCAGACUCCUACGGGAGGCAGCAGUGGGGAAUAUUGGACAAUGGGGGGAACCCUGAUCCAGCCAUGCCGCGUGUGUGAAGAAGGCCUUAUGGUUGUAAAGCACUUUAAGCGAGGAGGAGGCUACUUUAGCACACUAGAGAUAGUGGACGUUACUCGCAGAAUAAGCAAUCAAGACCUCUGUGCCACAGCAGCCGCGGUAAUACAGAGGUGCGAGCGCUAAUCGGAUUUAUCAAGUAAAGCGCGUAGGCGGCUUAUUAAGUCGGACGUGAAACUCCCCGAGCUUAACUUGGGAAUUGCACUCGGUGAGCUAGGAGUAUGGAGAGUGAUGGCAGAAUUCCAGGUGUAGCGGUGAAAUGCAGAGAUCUGAGGAAUACUGGAUGGCUAGUUGCAGCCAUCCACUCCAAUACUGACGCUGAGGUACGAAAGCAUGGGGAGCAAACAGGAUUAGAUACCCUGGUAGUCCAUGCCGUAAACGAUGUCUACUAGCCGUUGGGGCCUUUGAGGCUUUAGUGGCGCAGCUAACGCGAUAAGUAGACCGCCUGGGGAGUACGGUCGCAAAGAAGAUCAAAACUCAAAUGAAUUGAUUUGGGCCCAAAUGGGCGGUGGAGCAUGUGGUUUAAUCUGAUGCAACGCGAAGAACCUUACCUGGCCUUGACAUACUAGAAACUUUCCGAGAUGGAUUGGUGCCUUCGGGAACUAGAUACAGAACGCUGCAUGGCUGUCGUCAGCUCGUGUCGAGAUGUUGGGCUAAGUCCAGCAACGAGCGCAACCUCUUUCCUUUAUUUGCCAGCAUUUCGGAACUUAAGGAUACACAGUGACAAACUGGGAGGAAGGCGGGGACGACGUCAAGUCAUGGUCCCUUACGGCCAGGGCUACACACGUGCUACAAUGGUCGGUACAGCGGGUUGCACAGCGAUGUGGAUGCUAACUCAAAAAGCCGAUCGUAGUCCGGAUUGAGCCCGCAACUCGACUUCAUGAAGUCGGAACCGCUAGUAACGCGGAUCAGAAUGCCGCGGUGAAUACUGCUCCGGGCCUUGUACACACCCGCCCGUCACACCAUGGGAGUUUGUUGCACCAGAAGGCUUAAUGACCGCAAGAGGGUACACGGUGUGGCUGAUGACUGUGUGAAGUCAAAUAAGGUAGCCGUAGGGAACCUGCGGC
rnacentral:rRNA from 1 species